GAUGAACGCUGGCGGCGUGCCUAAUACAUGCAAGUCGAGCGAACGGACGAGAAGCUUGCUUCUCUGAUGUUAGCGGCGGACGGGUGAGUAACACGUGGAUAACCUACCUAUAAGACUGGGAUAACUUCGGGAAACCGGAGCUAAUACCGGAUAAUAUUUUGAACCGCAUGGUUCAAAAGUGAAAGACGGUCUUGCUGCCACUUAUAGAUGGAUCCGCGCUGCAUUAGCUAGUUGGUAAGGUAACGGCUUACCAAGGCAACGAUGCAUAGCCGACCUGAGAGGGUGAUCGGCCACACUGAAACUGAGACACGGUCCAGACUCCUACGGGAGGCAGCAGUAGGGAAUCUUCCGCAAUGGGCGAAAGCCUGACGGAGCAACGCCGCGUGAGUGAUGAAGGUCUUCGGAUCGUAAAACUCUGUUAUUAGGGAAGAACAUAUGUGUAAGUAACUGUGCACAUCUUGACGGUACCUAAUCAGAAAGCCACGGCUAACUACGUGCCAGCAGCCGCGGUAAUACGUAGGUGGCAAGCGUUAUCCGGAAUUAUUGGGCGUAAAGCGCGCGUAGGCGGUUUUUUAAGUCUGAUGUGAAAGCCCACGGCUCACCCGUGGAGGGUCAUUGGAAACUGGGAAACUUGAGUGCAGAAGAGGAAAGCGGAAUUCCAUGUGUAGCGGUGAAAUGCGCAGAGAUAUGGAGGAACACCAGUGGCGAAGGCGACUUCCUGGUCUGUAACUGACGCUGAUGUGCGAAAGCGUGGGGAUCAAACAGGAUUAGAUACCCUGGUAGUCCACGCCGUAAACGAUGAGUGCUAAGUGUUAGGGGGUUUCCGCCCCUUAGUGCUGCAGCUAACGCAUUAAGCACUCCGCCUGGGGAGUACGACCGCAAGGUUGAAACUCAAAGGAAUUGACGGGGACCCGCACAAGCGGUGGAGCAUGUGGUUUAAUUCGAAGCAACGCGAAGAACCUUACCAAAUCUUGACAUCCUUUGACAACUCUAGAGAUAGAGCCUUCCCCUUCGGGGGACAAAGUGACAGGUGGUGCAUGGUUGUCGUCAGCUCGUGUCGUGAGAUGUUGGGUUAAGUCCCGCAACGAGCGCAACCCUUAAGCUUAGUUGCCAUCAUUAAGUUGGGCACUCUAAGUUGACUGCCGGUGACAAACCGGAGGAAGGUGGGGAUGACGUCAAAUCAUCAUGCCCCUUAUGAUUUGGGCUACACACGUGCUACAAUGGACAAUACAAAGGGCAGCGAAACCGCGAGGUCAAGCAAAUCCCAUAAAGUUGUUCUCAGUUCGGAUUGUAGUCUGCAACUCGACUACAUGAAGCUGGAAUCGCUAGUAAUCGUAGAUCAGCAUGCUACGGUGAAUACGUUCCCGGGUCU
rnacentral:rRNA from 1 species